rnacentral:rRNA from 1 species
ACGUAGGGUGCGAGCGUUAAUCGGAAUUACUGGGCGUAAAGCGUGCGCAGGCGGCGCGUUAAGACAGGUGUGAAAGCCCCGAGCUUAACUUGGGAAUUGCGCUUGUGACUGGCGUGCUGGAGUGUGGCAGAGGGAGGUGGAAUUCCAGGUGUAGCGGUGAAAUGCGUAGAUAUCUGGAGGAACAUCAGUGGCGAAGGCGGCUUCCUGGUCCAACACUGACACUGAGGUGCGAAAGCGUGGGGAGCAAACAGGA